rnacentral:rRNA from 1 species
GACAGAGGGUGCAAACGUUGUUCGGAAUUACUGGGCGUAAAGCGCGUGUAGGCAGCGACUGCAAGUCGGGUGUGAAAGCCCUGGGCUCAACCUAGGAAGUGCACUCGAAACUGCAGGGCUUGAGUUCUGGAGAGGAAGGCGGAAUUCUCGGUGUAGAGGUGAAAUUCGUAGAUAUCGAGAGGAACAUCGGUGGCGAAGGCGGCCUUCUGGACAGUGACUGACGCUGAGACGCGAAAGCGUGUGGAGCAAACAGG